rnacentral:rRNA from 1 species
UGGGGAAUAUUGCACAAUGGGCGAAAGCCUGAUGCAGCAACGCCGCGUGAGCGAUGAAGGCCUUCGGGUCGUAAAGCUCUGUCCUCAAGGAAGAUAAUGACGGUACUUGAGGAGGAAGCCCCGGCUAACUACGUGCCAGCAGCCGCGGUAAUACGUAGGGGGCUAGCGUUAUCCGGAAUUACUGGGCGUAAAGGGUGCGUAGGUGGUUUUUUAAGUCAGAAGUGAAAGGCUACGGCUCAACCGUAGUAAGCUUUUGAAACUAGAGAACUUGAGUGCAGGAGAGGAGAGUAGAAUUCCUAGUGUAGCGGUGAAAUGCGUAGAUAUUAGGAGGAAUACCAGUAGCGAAGGCGGCUCUCUGGACUGUAACUGACACUGAGGCACGAAAGCGUGGGGAGCAAACA